rnacentral:RNase_P_RNA from 1 species
UCUGCAAGCCGGUUUAUCGUGGCGUCUCGGCGCCAAGGAAAGUCCGGAUAGCACAGGAUACCGCACCACUGAAGAGAUGGCUGUUCCGUUAAUACCGGGAUAAGAGAAAGUGCCACAGAAAAUAACUGUCCUGCUUAUGCAGGAUGAGGGUGAAAAUGUGAGGUAAGAGCUCACGAAUUAUUUUGGUAACAAAGUAAUUGGGUAAACCUUGCGGGCUACAAUGCCAAAUAAGUUAGAGUACAAAAAGAAUGGCGAUUCGUCAAAAUCUUUAACGGGUAGGCAGCAAGAGGUUGUGAGUGAUCGCAACCCUAGAUAAAUGAUAAACAUUAAAACAGGAUCCGGCUUAUGAGCUUGCAGAAUUU